GAAUUCACUCCCAUUAACUUCAGAUCUUCUCCAAUUGAGCUGCUUUAUUUCACAGGUUCCGAGCCCUGCUCUUGGGGAAAAAAAAAAAAAAAAAAAAAAGCCUCUCUAUUCUUUUUUGCAUAGUAGUGUAAAAGAAUCCCUAACUACUGAACCAUGAUACAGUCUUUCACUGCAACCAGUUUCUGAGGGAGAAAGCUCUAAAUAAUUAUAAAAGUAUAAUGAACAUUGCUACUAAAUGCUAACUAAAUGCCUCAUUGGAAAAUUUGAAAGGCAUUAAUUCAGACAACAGUUUCUCUUUAUCUCCUAUAUUUCCUGGUUCUAAUUCCUCUUUUUUUUUAUUUAUUAGUAUAGUAAUUUGCAUGAAAGAAGCAUCAUUGUUUCUUUAAUAUUCAUUUCCUUUUUCUCAUUUAGGGCAUCAUUCUGCUUCGCUGAAAACAAUGGCAAUCUUACUGGUUGACUUCAGGAAAGUAGGCCUGACAAUGAGAAAUGUUGGAUGUCUUCAAGCCCCACUGAAGUCAGACGUCCGGUAACAGCCCUCAGAGUCCUUUCAGAUCAGAAUCCCUAAAGUGCAACUUCCUUUGUGUGACUUAACAAUUUGCUAUUGCAUAAGUGCUGAUUACGUCAUAAGGGAUUAUGACUUUAUGCACAGAGUAAGCAACAAAGGUAGAUGGAUUUCUAAGUCCACUCUUUCCCCAGUCCUCUCUUUUCAUGCAAAUAGCUCUGAUUAUACCAAAUAGCAAGAGAAAGCAGAAAAUGCAUGUCACAGAAAAGCAAGUUCCUCAAAAAUGUGCUGGACUCCACUCCCUGAAGCAGGGUUGAACAUUCAGGGAAGUAUUGACCACAUCUUCCUCCCUGCUGGGAAGAUCCUACCACUGUCUGGGAAAUCUUAAAAUUAUGAAACAGAAAGUAAAGAUAU
rnacentral:lncRNA from 1 species